rnacentral:rRNA from 1 species
CAUGAAUAAGGGGCUCCUAACUCUGUGCCAGCAGGAGCGGUAAUACAGAGGCCCCAAGCAUUAUCCGGAAUCACUGGGCGUAAAGGGUGUGUAGGCGGUCGUAUUAGUCUUCUGUGAAAGCUUUCGGACUCAAUCCGGGAAACGCGGAAGAAACGGUACGACUACGAGGACGUAAGAGGUACAGGGAACUCAUAGUGUAGGGGUGAAAUCCGUUGAUAUUAUGGGGAACACCAAAUGCGAAGGCACUGUACUGGUACGCUCCUGACGCUGAAACACGAAAGCGUGGGAAUCGAACGGGAUUAGAUACCCCGGUAGUCCACGCCCUAAACGAUCACAACUGGCUAUAAGGAGUAUCGACCCUCUUUGUGGCGAAGCUAACGCGUUAAGUUGUGCGCCUGGGUAGUACGACCGCAAGGUUAAAACUCAAAGGAAUAGACGGGGACUUGCACAAGCGGUGGAUCAUGCGGCUCAAUUCGAUGACAAACGAAGAACCUCACCAGGGUUUGAAACUCAACUGUAAGCCUUAGGAAACUUUGGCCCUCGCAAGACUGUUGGGCAGGUGAUGCAUGGUCGUCGUCAGUUCGUGGCUUGAGUUGUUCCCUUCAGUGGGGUAACGAACGCAACCCUCGUUGCCUGUUUUAAAAGUCAGGCGAGACUGCCCCCUCACGGGGGAGGAAGGUGAGGAUGACGCCAGAUCAGCAUGUCCCUCUGAUAUCCUGGGCUGCACGCAUGAUACAAUGGCAUAGACAACGGGUCGCGACGGGGUAACCCUGAGCUAAUCCUUAUAACUAUGCCCCAGUUCGGAUUGAGGUCUGCAACUCGACCUCAUGAAGCCGGAAUCGCUAGUAAUCGCGGGUCAGCUAUACCGCGGUGAAUACGUUCUCAAGUCUUGUACUCACCGCCCGUCAACUCAAGGGAGCCGGGA